rnacentral:misc_RNA from 1 species
UACUGAGUGGCUGUAUUCGUGCUUCUCUUCGGAGACGCGAAGCUACCCGACCUGAUGUCAUUUUAUCCGAGGGCGCGCCCGCUUGAGAAGACAGCGGUUUGACGUUGUGGUGUUACCCGGACGAGGCGCUUGUCUCGUAAGGGGAAGCUUCCGGGUCGGGCCGUGGCGCGUUCCUUGGCACAACUUUCCGCGGAAGUGGUAGGCGUUGACUUGCCCGCCGCGGGCCAUACUUUUCACAACUCUCGAAGAAAACCUGAAGUCUGAAUACCAAAACAAAAACGAAAAGCAAAACUUUCAACAACGGAUCUCUUGGCUCUGGCAACGAUGAAGAACGCAGCGAAACGCGAAAGGUAAUGCGAAUUGCAGAAUCAGUGAGUCAUCGAAUCUUUGAACGCACAUUGCGCCUCUCGGUAUUCCGGGAGGCACGCCUGUUCGAGCGCCAUUACAAACUCCAAGCGUGGCUUGAUGUUGGGCGAUGUCUUUUUGCGAGAGCGGGAGACACGCCUGGAACGCGUUGGCGCCGCCGCCGGACCACGAGCGUAGCAAGACGAGAGUCAAUCGCAUCGAUUUGGUUUCCGACGGAGGUCCGCCUUGUGACUGCACUUUCGAGUGUAGUUGAAAAACUUCUCAAGUUUGGCCUCGGAUCAGGCGGGGAUACCCGCUGAACUUAAGCAUAUCAAUAA